UGGAUCCUGAGUACGACGGAGCACGUGAAAUUCCGUCGGAAUCUGGGAGGACCAUCUCCUAAGGCUAAAUACUCUCUAGUGACCGAUAGUGAACCAGUACCGUGAGGGAAAGGUGAAAAGUACCCCGGAAGGGGAGUGAAAGAGAACUUGAAACCGUGUGCUUACAAGUAGUCAGAGCCCGUUAAUGGGUGAUGGCGUGCCUUUUGUAGAAUGAACCGGCGAGUUACGAUCUGAUGCAAGGUUAAGCAGAAAAUGUGGAGCCGUAGCGAAAGCGAGUCUGAAUAGGGCGAAUGAGUAUUUGGUCGUAGACCCGAAACCAGGUGAUCUACCCUUGGUCAGGUUGAAGUUCAGGUAACACUGAAUGGAGGACCGAACCGACUUACGUUGAAAAGUGAGCGGAUGAACUGAGGGUAGCGGAGAAAUUCCAAUCGAACUUGGAGAUAGCUGGUUCUCUCCGAAAUAGCUUUAGGGCUAGCCUCAAGUGAUGAUUAUUGGAGGUAGAGCACUGUUUGGACGAGGGGCCCCUCUCGGGUUACCGAAUUCAGACAAACUCCGAAUGCCAAAUAAUUUAACUUGGGAGUCAGAAUGUGGGUGAUAAGGUCCAUAUUCGAAAGGGAAACAGCCCAGACCACCAGCUAAGGUCCCAAAAUAUAUGUUAAGUGGAAAAGGAUGUGGCGUUGCCCAGACAACUAGGAUGUUGGCUUAGAAGCAGCCAUCAUUUAAAGAGUGCGUAAUAGCUCACUAGUCGAGUGACACUGCGCCGAAAAUGUACCGGGGCUAAACAUAUUACCGAAGCUGUGGAUUGUCCUUUGGACAAUGGUAGGAGAGCGUUCUAAGGGCGUUGAAGCAUGAUCGCAAGGACAUGUGGAGCGCUUAGAAGUGAGAAUGCCGGUGUGAGUAGCGAAAGACGGGUGAGAAUCCCGUCCACCGAUUGACUAAGGUUUCCAGAGGAAGGCUCGUCCGCUCUGGGUUAGUCGGGUCCUAAGCUGAGGCCGACAGGCGUAGGCGAUGGAUAACAGGUUGAUAUUCCUGUACCACCAUUAUUCGUUUUAAGCGAUGGGGGGACGCAGUAGGAUAGGCGAAGCGUGCUGUUGGAGUGCACGUCCAAGCAGUGAGAUUGAGUGUUAGGCAAAUCCGGC
rnacentral:rRNA from 1 species